rnacentral:rRNA from 1 species
UACGUAGGGGGCGAGCGUUGUCCGGAUUUAUUGGGCGUAAAGCGCGCGCAGGCGGUUCGGAAAGUCGGAUGUGAAAAUCCGGGGGCUCAACCCCGGACGUGCACCCGAUACUCCCGGACUGGAGGCAGGUAGGGGAGAGCGGAAUUCCCGGUGUAGCGGUGAAAUGCGCAGAUAUCGGGAAGAACACCGGUGGCGAAGGCGGCUCUCUGGGCCUGUCCUGACGCUCAGGCGCGAAAGCUAGGGGGAGCGAAACAGG